GACGAACGCUGGCGGCGUGCUUAACACAUGCAAGUCGAACGGAAAGGCCCUGCUUGCAGGGUACUCGCGUGGCGAACGGGUGAGUAACACGUGGGUGAUCUGCCCUGCACUUCGGGAUAAGCCUGGGAAACUGGGUCUAAUACCGGCUAGGAGCCAUUUUUAGUGUGAUGGUUGGAAAGUUUUUUCGGUGUAGGAUGAGCUCGCGGCGUAUCUGCUUGUUGGUGGGGUAAUGGCCUACCAAGGCGGCGACGGGUAGCCGGACUGCGGGGGUGGACGGCCACAUUGGGACUGAGAGAAGGCCCAGACAGCGACUGGAGGGAGCAGGGGGGAAGAUUGCACAAUGGGCGCAAGGCUGAUGCAGCGACGCCGCGUGGGGGAUGACGGCCUUCGGGGGGUAAAAUCCUUUCGCUAGGGACGAAGCUUUUUGUGACGGUACCUAGAUAGGAAGCACCGGCUAACUACGUG
rnacentral:rRNA from 1 species